AGAACCGGAAUGCAGGGACCACCGCCAGAGAGGGCUGUUGCUUGACGAGCGGGAUCCAGAUUGGGACCUCAAGAGAAGGGAACUAGAACUGUCGCUUCCAGCUCCGGAUCAAAACAGCAACAAAAAGAAGAAGAGAAUCCGAGGUUCCACCCGGUUUAACCAUGCCCACCCCUGGAGAGUAUGAGAAGGCGUAGCCCCAGGGCUCAGACUGGAGCCAGCUGGAAUACUCAGCUGUCUUCACAGGAGUUGACUCAACCACUCUUCCUCAAGGUUUUACAGAAAGCCCCAGCCAGUCCUUUAGUCUGAAAGUCUUGCCAGAGUGUUCUCUAUAGGAGCCGCUGUCGCCUUGAUAAAAUCAGAUGCCCAGAGGAGUGACCCGGAGGGGACACUUAGGGGACAGACAACUGCUUGCAUUUUGCUUUUGUGGUUUGCAGUGUUAACAUGCCCUGCCUGUCAGCCCACCAACACACACUGGCACAGCUGAUCAAGAUCAAAGUAAGAGCUCUCCUGAUUAAGUUGAUUUUUGAGAGCCCACAGUCCCAGCCCUGAGGACUUUACCCAUGAUCACAUCCAGCGAGGAGCAAUGGCCUGGACAAUGCUGCCACUCAAUGAGAGGCAACAAAAAGAAAGGCCUGGCUGGAAGGAAAUCUGCUCCACGCAUCAACGAGCAUCGGCAGAAAAUGGUGAAGUGUGUGUGGGCUUGGUGCUCAAGUUUUUCAAUGAUAGAUUUUACGAAAGUUGGAUGAGAUGUUACAAGAAAAAUAUAGCACCUAAAUUGAGACAUUAAAAAUAUAUAUUGAAGCUUUGAAGACUCCACGGGUAUAUGUUAAAUGUCUUACUCACUACUUUUAAUAUUGAUUUGCUGAAAUAUGACAGAUGUUUUAGAGCUCAGUAUAAUAUACUAUUAAAACC
rnacentral:lncRNA from 1 species